GCCCUUGUAGCUCAACGGUUAGAGCAGCGGACUCAUAAUCCGUUGGUUGUAGGUUCGAAUCCUACCGAGGGCACCA
rnacentral:tRNA from 3 species